UACGUAGGGGGGCUAGCGUUGUCCGGAAUCAUUGGGCGUAAAGCGCGCGUAGGCGGCCCGGUAAGUCCGUUGUAAAAAGUCAAAGGCUCAACCUUUGAAAGCCGAUGGAUACUGCCGGGCUAGAGUCCGGAAGAGGCGAGUAGAAUUCCUGGUGUAGCGGUGGAAUGCGCAGAUAUCAGGAGGAAUACCUAUAGCGAAGGCAGCUCGCUGGGACGGUACUGACGCUGAGGCGCGAAAGCGUGGGGAGCGAACAGG
rnacentral:rRNA from 1 species